CCUUUAAAAAAGCGUCAAAGCUUAUUUAUUUUACCAAAUGAAUCUCAAAAACAAACUAAAACCCUACACCAAUACUAAGUAAUUCCAUAAAUCUAUGGAAAGUAUUAUGUUAAAACUAGUAACAUGAAGAUGAACCUUCUCUAAAAUGUAUGUGUAGGUCAAGAUGGACUGCACACUGACAAUUAACAAUCUAAACUAAAGUAGCAAAAUACCCAAGAAAAUCCUACUAACCAACUUGUUAAUCUAACACAAGAACAUUUAAAGAAAGACUUAAAAAGAAAGAAGGAACUCGGCAAAAUCGAUUUCGCCUGUUUACCAAAAACAUCGCCUCCUGAAUUGUACCUAUAGGAGGUCUAGCCUGCCCAGUGACUCUGUUUAACGGCCGCGGUAACCUAACCGUGCGAAGGUAGCGUAAUCACCUGUUUUUUAAUUAAAGACCUGUAUGAAAGGCAUCACGAGAAUCACACUGUCUCCUUUCUCAAGUCAGUGAAACUAAUCUCCUCGUGAAAAAGCGAGGAUAACACUACAAGACGAGAAGACCCUUUGGAGCUUAAGACAAAAUAAAUACUUAUUCCAUUGUUUUCUAUAUCACACAACAUACUAUUUAUAAGUCUUGGGUUGGGGCAACCACGGAGUACAAACAAACCUCCGAGCUGAACGGAAACUUCCUAAACAAAAAGCAACAGCUUUAUGUAUCAAUAAACUGACACAAUUUGACCCAAUAUAUUUGACUAACGAACCAAGUUACCCAAGGGAUAACAGCGCAAUCCACUUAAAGAGUUCAUAUCGAAAAGUGGGCUUACGACCUCGAUGUUGGAUCAAGGUAUCCCGGUGGUGCAGCAGCUACCAAAGGUUCGUUUGUUCAACGAUUAAAACCUCACGCG
rnacentral:rRNA from 1 species